AACGAACGCUGGCGGCAGGCCUAAAACAUGCAAGUCGAACGAACCUUCGGGUUAGUGGCGCACGGGUGCGUAACGCGUGGGAAUAUGCCUCUGGGUGCGGAACAACGUCGGGAAACUGACGCUAAUACCGCAUAAUAUCUACGGAUCAAAGAUUUAUCGCCCAGAGAUUAGCCCGCGUCUGAUUAGCUAGUUGGUGAGGUAAUGGCUCACCAAGGCGACGAUCAGUAGCUGGUCUGAGAGGAUGAUCAGCCACACUGGAACUGAGACACGGUCCAGACUCCUACGGGAGGCAGCAGUUAGGAAUAUUGGACAAUGGGGGAAACCCUGAUCCAGCCAUGCCGCGUGUGUGAAGAAGGCCUUAGGGUUGUAAAGCACUUUCAGCUGUGAAGAUAAUGACAGUAGCAGAAGAAGAAGCUCCGGCUAAAUUCGUGCCAGCCGCCGCAGUAA
rnacentral:rRNA from 1 species